AUUGAACGCUGGCGGCAUGCUUUACACAUGCAAGUCGAACGGUAACAGGCCUUCGGGUGCUGACGAGUGGCGAACGGGUGAGUAAUGCAUCGGAACGUACCCAGAGGUGGGGGAUAACGCAGCGAAAGCUGUGCUAAUACCGCAUGUGAUCUGAGGAUGAAAGCGGGGGACCGAGCAGCAAUGUUUGGCCUCGCGCCUUUGGAGCGGCCGAUGUCGGAUUAGCUAGUUGGUGGGGUAAAGGCCUACCAAGGCGACGAUCCGUAGCUGGUCUGAGAGGACGACCAGCCACACUGGGACUGAGACACGGCCCAGACUCCUACGGGAGGCAGCAGUGGGGAAUUUUGGACAAUGGGCGCAAGCCUGAUCCAGCAAUGCCGCGUGCGGGAAGAAGGCCUUCGGGUUGUAAACCGCUUUUGGUAGGAACGAAACGGUGUCCGCUAAUACCGGGCGCUAAUGACGGUACCUGCAGAAUAAGCACCGGCUAACUACGUG
rnacentral:rRNA from 1 species